CUCUCCGGGCCCGCCGGUCCUGCAGUUUCCGAGUUCUGCUGGAGGACGAGACCCGCUCAGAGCCGCCGGCACCCGCGGUCGCCGCGGUUCCCCACGGAGCGGAGCGGCAGCCGGCCCGCCCCGCGCCGCCUCUCCGCGCUGCCGGGGGGAACUUAAUCGCGCCGGGGGUAAUCUUGCAAGAGCAGGCAGCUACCUUCUGGUUCCAAGGUCCUGGUUCUUACUUUGUUUCUCCACGCGGUUUGAGUCUCGCCGCCCCUACCGCCGCGUCCGGCCCCGGGAUAGAAGGGAAAGUGAGCGACACGGGGCUGCGCGCUCCCGAGCAUCGCAGCAGGGACACACAGACACAGACAGACAGACAGGCGCUGUCCCGGAACCGGAGUGUAGUCUCGGGCUCCACUAAAUACGUUUUUCGAAUCGUUGACCCGUCUCUGGACCACACAACACAGUAACAAAGGCUGUUCGUGUCGCGUCGAUCACAUCUUCAGAUCACCGUAUGUUGGAAUAAAGCACCCGAGACUCCAUUUUCUUCAUGCAGAAAGCCAAUUCUUUAUUCACCAAGCUCAUAUUUGUAGGGAAUAUCAGAAGGCACUGUGUUAAACCUAAUUGGUCAGCAGUGCAGUGAAACUCAGUUCAUUGGAUGGGACCAUGGCCAUGGGACAGACUCCAGGACAUUGCUCACUCAGUAAUUCAUUUGCAAACCACGUUUGAAGUUCAGUCCAGAGCCUCUGAUUGGCUGUACAGGGCCAAACUUUGGGGCUCUGCAGACCAGAACAAGAUGUCACAGGCUCCAAGUUCCAGGCUGUGGGUCCUUUAGUGAAAAUUGGCUUCACACAGUAUAUUUUCCCAGUGCAGAAUGUCUUCCAGUUUCUUUGUACAGAAAAUGGCAUCAAUAUAACGCAUUGAAUUUAAUUCAUAAUAGCAAUUAAGACCCCGAGAGGGUGGAUCCACAAGGGAGGAUCCAAGCCACUGUGGAAGCUCUUCCAGGAGCAAAUGUGUGAGAGCCAUCUGUCGCCUCUCCACACACAGUGACAGUCACAGCAUGUCUCUGCAGCCUACUCAGAAAAUUCACACCAUGAUGAAGGGUUGUUGAAUAUAUUCUGCAAGUGUUUCCUGCCGAGGGCUGCUCUGCACUGAAGGGGAUGUGAGGCUCAGCCAUGAUGGUGCCCAGCAGCUCUGAACAGGAGGGGCAGCUUGCUGAAGGAGAAUGUGGCUGUUGGGUUUGCAGAGCUCUGAGUACUCCCUGCAGAGAGCGUCCUGCCUCCACUGGAGCAGGGUUUCAACAAUCUGAUGGUCGAGAGCAAAAAUCAAAUUCCUAUUGAGAAACAUGGUGAACUGCUGUCAGAAAGGGGAAAACCUUGCUCCAGGUGACACUGAUGAAUACCCUGCAGCCCUUUACCUGCAGUCAAAAGACAAUGAACUUUACUUUCCAUUCUUCUGCAUAAAAAUGGAGUGACAUGCGCACAUAUAAGAAGGCAAAAAAUCACUACAGGCCUUAUAAAACCUGUCAGUGCUGCACAGGCUCCUUUCCCCAGGGAGAGUUGGAGGAAACAAGUAUGAGACAGUCACUCAUCAUUUUGCUUAAAAUAAGGCUGGGAGGCCCAGGGAUGCUCCAGCAAACCCCACAGCAAAGCUGCAGAACAAAGAACUGACUGAGCCAGCUCCUGACCCACAAAAUGCAGGAAUCAGAUCAGUUGAGGACAGAAGCUGCAGGGAUUCCAG